CCUACGGGAGGCAGCAGUGAGGAAUAUUGGUCAAUGGGCGCGAGCCUGAACCAGCCAAGUAGCGUGAAGGAUGACUGCCCUACGGGUUGUAAACUUCUUUUAUAAAGGAAUAAAGUGAGGCACGCGUGCCUUUUUGUAUGUACUUUAUGAAUAAGGAUCGGCUAACUCCGUGCCAGCAGCCGCGGUAAUACGGAGGAUCCGAUCGUUCUCCGGAUUUAUUGGGUUUAAAGGGAGUGUCGAUGGGUUGUUAAGUCAGUUGUGAAAGUUUGCGGCUCAACAGUAAGAUUGCAAUUGAUACUGGCAGCCUUGAGUACAGUUGAGGUAGGCGGAAUUCGUGGUGUAGCGGUGAAAUGCUUAGAUAUCACGAAGAACUCCGAUUGCGAAGGCAGCUUACUAAACUGCCACUGACAUUGAUGCUCGAAAGUGUGGGUAUCAAACAGGAUUAGAUACCCCAGUAGUC
rnacentral:rRNA from 1 species